UACGUAGGGUGCAAGCGUUAAUCGGAAUUACUGGGCGUAAAGCGUGCGCAGGCGGUUAUGCAAGACAGAUGUGAAAUCCCCGGGCUUAACCUGGGAACUGCAUUUGUGACUGCAUAGCUGGAGUGCGGCAGAGGGGGAUGGAAUUCCGCGUGUAGCAGUGAAAUGCGUAGAUAUGCGGAGGAACACCGAUGGCGAAGGCAAUCCCCUGGGCCUGCACUGACGCUCAGGCGCGACAGCGUGGGGAGCAAACAGG
rnacentral:rRNA from 1 species